rnacentral:rRNA from 1 species
UACGUAGGGUGCGAGCGUUGUCCGGAAUUAUUGGGCGUAAAGAGCUCGUAGGCGGUCUGUCGCGUCGGUCGUGAAAACUUGGGGCUUAACCCUGAGCUUGCGGUCGAUACGGGCAUGACUGGAGUUCGGCAGGGGAGACUGGAAUUCCUGGUGUAGCGGUGAAGUGCGCAGAUAUCAGGAGGAACACCGGUGGCGAAGGCGGGUCUCUGGGCCGAUACUGACGCUGAGGAGCGAAAGCGUGGGGAGCGAACAGG